rnacentral:rRNA from 1 species
AUUGAACGCUGGCGGCAUGCCUUACACAUGCAAGUCGAACGGCAGCACGGGAGCAAUCCUGGUGGUGAGUGGCGAACGGGUGAGUAAAGUAUCGGAACGUGCCCAGUCGUGGGGGAUAACGUAGCGAAAGUUACGCUAAUACCGCAUACGAUCUAUGGAUGAAAGCGGGGGAUCGCAAGACCUCGCGCGAUUGGAGCGGCCGAUAUCAGAUUAGGUAGUUGGUGGGGUAAAGGCUCACCAAGCCGACGAUCUGUAGCUAGUCUGAGAGGACGACCAGCCACGCUGGGACUGAGACACGGCCCAGACUCCUACGGGAGGCAGCAGUGGGGAAUUUUGGACAAUGGGCGAAAGCCUGAUCCAGCCAUGCCGCGUGCAGGAUGAAGGCCUUCGGGUUGUAAACUGCUUUUGUACGGAACGAAAAGGUUUGGCCUAAUAAGCUGAGCUCAUGACGGUACCGUAAGAAUAAGCACCGGCUAACUACGUGCCAGCCGCCGCCGUAA